rnacentral:lncRNA from 1 species
CCAACGACCAAAGCAAAGGACAGCAGAACUGACUGACACAGCUCAGAAAAUAUCCAAAGCUCUGUAUGCUCUGGAAAGGAAGACAAGAAAUGCUAAAGACUCUGGAUAUUGCUCUGUUUCUAUAAGGUCCCACCCAUAUACCAUCUCUUCUUUUGGAUUUCCUUUGGCAGUAACCUGAAGUUAUAUAAGUGGCAUGUUCCCAAGUACAAAGGGAGCCCUUCUAUUGCUUCUGCUUACAAAGAGGUGUCAACCUAAGAAAAAGCCAGAACAAGCCAAAGUUCAGGGUUCCCUUGUAUGGAAGUUCUCAGGAGAACAACACUCUCAGAGUCCCACUGUCUCAAAGAAUUCUUAAUGGACAGCUAUACUUGGCCCCAAGGUUUCAACCUCACACUGAAGAAAGUGACAUAAGAAAACACAAGUCCCAGUGCUAUCAGGGGCUAUCUGGAAAAGCUGCUUAAACAGCAAGUGAAAGAAGGCUCUCCCCUACCCCGUUCUAGUUAUAAACAUCACAUCUCUUAACAUACGGCCAAGAUGAUGAAGCUGAUGGAGUACGAUGGUGUUCAAACUUAGAUAAGCUAAUUCAAUAGACAACUAGAAAUGCCAAUGAGUCUAUCACUCACCCUGAAGUUAUUUGAAGGAUCCUUGAGACUCUUUUGGAUUGCUGCUUGGAGAACAUUCCUGUAACUUGUCCCUGCUCCUUGAACUAUAAAAGCAGAAGGGAGGUACUGAGUU